rnacentral:rRNA from 1 species
AGUGAACGCUGGCGGUAGGCCUAACACAUGCAAGUCGAACGGCAGCACAGUAAGAGCUUGCUCUUACGGGUGGCGAGUGGCGGACGGGUGAGGAAUACAUCGGAAUCUACUUUUUCGUGGGGGAUAACGUAGGGAAACUUACGCUAAUACCGCAUACGACCUACGGGUGAAAGCAGGGGAUCUUCGGACCUUGCGCGAUUGAAUGAGCCGAUGUCGGAUUAGCUAGUUGGCGGGGUAAAGGCCCACCAAGGCGACGAUUCGUAGCUGGUCUGAGAGGAUGAUCAGCCACACUGGAACUGAGACACGGUCCAGACUCCUACGGGAGGCAGCAGUGGGGAAUAUUGGACAAUGGGCGCAAGCCUGAUCCAGCCAUACCGCGUGGGUGAAGAAGGCCUUCGGGUUGUAAAGCCCUUUUGUUGGGAAAGAAGAGCAGCAGGUUAAUACCCCGCUGUUCUGACGGUACCCAAAGAAUAAGCACCGGCUAACUUCGUG